rnacentral:rRNA from 1 species
CGUACUGAGACACGGACCAGACUCCUACGGGAGGCAGCAGUGAGGAAUAUUGGACAAUGGGAGCAAUCCUGAUCCAGCCAUGCCGCGUGCAGGAAGACUGCCCUAUGGGUUGUAAACUGCUUUUAUACAGGAGGAAAAAGCCCGACGUGUCGGGUGUUGACGGUACUGUAAGAAUAAGGAUCGGCUAACUCCGUGCCAGCAGCCGCGGUAAUACGGAGGAUCCAAGCGUUAUCCGGAAUCAUUGGGUUUAAAGGGUCCGUAGGCGGGACAAUAAGUCAGUGGUGAAAGUCUGCAGCUCAACUGUAGAAUUGCCAUUGAUACUGUUGUUCUUGAGUGCUUGUGAAGUGGUUAGAAUGAGUAGUGUAGCGGUGAAAUGCAUAGAUAUUACUCAGAAUACCGAUUGCGAAGGCAGAUCACUAACAAUUCACUGACGCUGAUGGACGAAAGCGUAGGUAGCGAACAGGAUUAGAUACCCUGGUAGUCUACGCCGUAAACGAUGGUUACUAGCUGUUCGGAUCAAUUGAGAUCUGAGUGGCUAAGCGAAAGUGAUAAGUAACCCACCUGGGGAGUACGUUCGCAAGAAUGAAACUCAAAGGAAUUGACGG